rnacentral:rRNA from 1 species
AAGUCGACGAGAACCCUUCGGGGGGACAGUGGCGAAAGGGCGAGUAAUGCGAUCGAACGUGCCCCGAGGUGGGGGAUAGCGUAGGGAAACUUACGGUAAUACCCCAUGUGCUCUACGGAGGAAAGGUUUACCGCCUCGGGAGCGGCGAUCGUCCUAUCAGGUAGUUGGUGAGGUAAAGGCUCACCAAGCCGAAGACGGGUAGCGGGUGUGAGAGCAUGACCCGCCGCAUCGGGACUGAGACACUGCCCGGACUCCUACGGGAGGCUGCAGUAACGAAUCUUCCGCAAUGGGCGAAAGCCUGACGGAGCAAUGCCGCGUGUGGGAUGAAGCGUCUUCGACGUGUAAACCACUGUCAGGGUCUAGGAACACUGACCAGACCCAGAGGAAGGGCCGGCUAAUUCCGUGCCAGCAGCCGCGGUAAUACGGAAGGCCCAAGCGUUAAUCGGAAUCACUGGGCUUAAAGCGUGCGUAGGCGGACCCGCAGGCAUCUUGUGAAAGCCCACGGCUCAACCGUGGAACAGCAGGGUGAACCGCGGGUCUUGAGGCAGGUAGGGGUCGAUGGAACCAUGGGUGGAGCGGUGAAAUGCGUAGAUAUCCAUGGGAACGCCAAUGGCGAAGGCAAUCGACUGGGCCUGUCCUGACGCUCAGGCACGAAAGCGUGGGUAGCGAACGGGAUUAGAUACCCUGGUA